AUGUGGUUGGAUGUAGUGCUUUUGGCUAUGUUUACAAGGUUUCAGGGAAAACUACCUAGCGGGAUUGAGAUUGCGGUCAAAAGAUUUGCAACAUCAUCAACUCAAGAUACAAAGAUGGGAGAAUCACUUAAUUGGUCUAAGCGCCUCGAUAUGAUUGAAGGGAUAGCUCAGGGUCUUGUUUACCUGCAUGAUCUAUCGUCUCACCAAUGUGUCGUCCACAUGGAUUUGAAAGCCAAUAAUAUAUUGUUAGAUUAUGAAAUGAACCCUAAGAUUUCUGAUUUUGGGAUGGCUAGGAUAUUACCUUCUAGCGGGACUGAAGAGACCUCGGACACUGUUAAAGGCACAACUGGUUAUAUGGAUCCAGAAUAUAUCAGGUCUGGGAAAUUCUCAGCGAAGUCUGAUGUGUAUAGCUUUGGCAUCAUGAUUCUUGAGAUCGCCUGGGAGCUAUGGAAAGCAGGAAAGCCCCACGAGCUUGCUGAUGUAUCAUCACCAAGUAAUGACCAACAAACGGCUCAGAUCAUCAGAUGCAUUCAUGUGGCACUGCUGUGUAUUCAAGAUUGUCCGAUGCACCGGCCUACCAUGUUGGAUGUGCUUCUGAUGCUACGCAGCGAGAGCUUCGCCAGCUUACCUACACCUAGCGUGCCAGUCAACCACACAGAUGAGCAUCAAGCUGAAGCCCUGACGCUCGAGGGUUUCUGGGAGGUGAACGUACCAUUACAACCUGUUGAGGAGAUGGUCACUUCGUAG
rnacentral:rRNA from 1 species